rnacentral:rRNA from 1 species
AUUGAACGCUAGCGGCAGGCCUAAUACAUGCAAGUCGAACGGUGUAGCAAUACACAGUGGCGCACGGGUGCGUAACACGUAUGCAACCUACCUUACAUUGGGGGAUAGCCUUUCGAAAGGGAGAUUAAUACCGCAUAAGACAGUAACUAGGCAUCUAGUAGCUGUUAAAGAUUUAUCGAUGUAAGCUGGGCAUGCGUCCAAUUAGUUAGUUGGCGAGGUAAUGGCUCACCAAGACGAUGAUUGGUAGGGGAACUGAGAGGUCAAUCCCCCACACUGGCACUGAGAUACGGGCCAGACUCCUACGGGAGGCAGCAGUAGGGAAUAUUGGGCAAUGGGCGCAAGCCUGACCCAGCCAUGCCGCGUGCAGGAAGAAGGCGUAUGCGUUGUAAACUGCUUUUAUACAGGAAGAAACGACCCUUGCGAGGGGCAUUGACGGUACUGUAUGAAUAAGCACCGGCUAACUCCGUGCCAGCAGCCGCCGUAAAAC